rnacentral:rRNA from 1 species
UUGCUGCUUCGCUGACGAGUGGCGGACGGGUGAGUAAUGUCUGGGAAACUGCCUGAUGGAGGGGGAUAACUACUGGAAACGGUGGCUAAUACCGCAUAACGUCGCAAGACCAAAGAGGGGGACCUUCGGGCCUCUUGCCAUCAGAUGUGCCCAGAUGGGAUUAGCUUGUUGGUGAGGUAACGGCUCACCAAGGCGACGAUCCCUAGCUGGUCUGAGAGGAUGACCAGCCACACUGGAACUGAGACACGGUCCAGACUCCUACGGGAGGCAGCAGUGGGGAAUAUUGCACAAUGGGCGCAAGCCUGAUGCAGCCAUGCCGCGUGUAUGAAGAAGGCCUUCGGGUUGUAAAGUACUUUCAGCGGGGAGGAAGGUGUUGUGGUUAAUAACCGCAGCAAUUGACGUUACCC